rnacentral:rRNA from 1 species
AGAGUUUGAUCCUGGCUCAGAUUGAACGCUGGCGGCAUGCUUUACACAUGCAAGUCGAACGGCAGCACGGGUGCUUGCACCUGGUGGCGAGUGGCGAACGGGUGAGUAACACAUCGGAACAUGCCUAGUUGUGGGGGACAACUACUCGAAAGAGUAGCUAAUACCGCAUGAUAUCUAAGGAUGAAAGCAGGGGACCUUUCGGGGCCUUGUGCAACUAGAGUGGCCGAUGGCAGAUUAGGUAGUUGGUGAGGUAAAGGCUCACCAAGCCUGCGAUCUGUAGCUGGUCUGAGAGGACGACCAGCCACACUGGAACUGAGACACGGUCCAGACUCCUACGGGAGGCAGCAGUGGGGAAUUUUGGACAAUGGGCGCAAGCCUGAUCCAGCAAUGCCGCGUGCAGGAUGAAGGCCUUCGGGUUGUAAACUGCUUUUGUACAGAACGAAACGAGAUUUGCUAAUACCAGGUCUUAAUGACGGUACUGUAAGAAUAAGCACCGGCUAACUACGUGCCAGCAGCCGCGGUAAUACGUAGGGUGCAAGCGUUAAUCGGAAUUACUGGGCGUAAAGCGUGCGCAGGCGGCUAUGCAAGACUGAUGUGAAAUCCCCGGGCUCAACCUGGGAACUGCAUUAGUGACUGCAUAGCUGGAGUGCGGCAGAGGGGGAUGGAAUUCCGCGUGUAGCAGUGAAAUGCGUAGAUAUGCGGAGGAACACCGAUGGCGAAGGCAAUCCCCUGGGCCUGCACUGACGCUCAUGCACGAAAGCGUGGGGAGCAAACAGGAUUAGAUACCCUGGUAGUCCACGCCCUAAACGAUGUCAACUGGUUGUUGGGAAUUAACUUUCUCAGUAACGAAGCUAACGCGUGAAGUUGACCGCCUGGGGAGUACGGUCGCAAGACUAAAACUCAAAGGAAUUGACGGGGACCCGCACAAGCGGUGGAUGAUGUGGUUUAAUUCGAUGCAACGCGAAAAACCUUACCCACCUUUGACAUGUACGGAAGGAUUUAGAGAUAGAUCUGUGCUCGCAAGAGAGCCGUAACACAGGUGCUGCAUGGCUGUCGUCAGCUCGUGUCGUGAGAUGUUGGGUUAAGUCCCGCAACGAGCGCAACCCUUGUCAUUAGUUGCCAUCAUUUGGUUGGGCACUCUAAUGAGACUGCCGGUGAUAAACCGGAGGAAGGUGGGGAUGACGUCAAGUCCUCAUGGCCCUUAUAGGUGGGGCUACACACGUCAUACAAUGGCUGGUACAAAGGGUUGCCAACCCGCGAGGGGGAGCUAAUCCCAUAAAGCCAGUCGUAGUCCGGAUCGCAGUCUGCAACUCGACUGCGUGAAGUCGGAAUCGCUAGUAAUCGUGGAUCAGAAUGUCACGGUGAAUACGUUCCCGGGUCUUGUACACACCGCCCGUCACACCAUGGGAGCGGGUUCUGCCAGAAGUAGGUAGCCUAACCGUAAGGAGGGCGCUUACCACGGCAGGGCUCGUGACUGGGG